rnacentral:lncRNA from 1 species
CCUAUAGGACAAAGAGGUAGGAAUCUAGAACUUGAUCGAUCUAUAGGGGCAUGCCCGCACCAUAACCAGUUCGAUCAAGAUGAGCAUAUUCUUAGGAAUGUGAAGGUCGAAACUCCAAAUUUUGAUGGUUGUCUAGAUCCGAGAGAGUACCUAGAUUGAGAAUCAGGUAUGGACCACUAUUCUGGAUGGUACGAAAUGUCUGAAGCAAGGAG